UGGGUGGAGCUAGGUGAAACAAAAUGGAUAAGGGACAAGCUGAAUUUAUAUCCAGUCAAGACCAAAGAAAUUAGUUUCUGGAACUGGGAUCAGUUUAUUCUGAGUGAAUUUGCGUCUCCCCUAAAAGGUUAUUCAUUGGAAGCUUUCUUACUGAUGUGGACUUUGAAGAAACAAGAUGGGAAAACUAUCGAUGCUUUUGAACUUGGGUGCUGGAGAAGACUCCUGGGAAUACCAUGGACAACCCAGAAAACAAAUGGACGAUCAAACAAAUCAACUCAGACUUCUCAUUCAAGGCACAAAUGACCAGUUCCAAAUUAUCCUACUUUGAACACUUACUGAAGACCUAGCCCUCUGGAAAAGGCUAUAAUGCUGGGAAUAGUGAAAAGGAAAGAGAGCAACUAGCAAGAAGGUGAAUAGAUUCAAUUACAGUGGAAAUAAAUAUACCAUUGGAAGAUCUGAAAGACUAGGUUAGGGACAGAUCAUCAUGGAGAAAAUUGAAGUUAACAGCAACCUGAUGGCAUAUAAUCAAGUCAAUCCUUACUGAUGCAAAAUUGCAGUAUUGAGAAUCUAAUAAAUAAAUGGUGAAAGGUUAGAAUCACCUCUACU